rnacentral:rRNA from 1 species
GAUGAACGCUGGCGGCGUGCCUAAUACAUGCAAGUAGAACGCUGAAGGAGGAGCUUGCUCUUCUGGAUGAGUUGCGAACGGGUGAGUAACGCGUAUGUAACCUGCCUGGUAGCGGCGGAUAACUAUUGGAAACGAUAGCUAAUACCGCAUGACAACAGUUAUUGCAUGAUAACUGUUUAAAAGGGGCAACUGCUCCACUACCAGAUGGACCUGCGUUGUAUUAGCUAGUUGGUGAGGUAACGGCUCACCAAGGCGACGAUACAUAGCCGACCUGAGAGGGGGAUCGGCCACACUGGGACCGAGGAACGGCCCAGACUCCUAACGGAGGGAGCAGGAGGGAAACUUCGGCAAUGGACGGAAGUCUGAACGAGCAACGCCGGGGGAGGGAAGAAGGUUUUCGGAUCGGAAAGCUCUGUUGUAAGGGAAGAACGAGUGUGAGAGUGGAAAGCGCACACUGUGACGGUAUCUAACCAGAAAGGGACGGCUAACUACGUG